rnacentral:rRNA from 1 species
GACGAACGCUGGCGGCGUGCUUAACACAUGCAAGUCGAACGAUGAACCCGGAGCUUGCUCCGGUGGAUUAGCGGCGGACGGGUGAGUAACACGUGGGUAACCUGCCCAUAAGACUGGGAUAACUCCGGGAAACCGGGGCUAAUACCGGAUAACAUUUUGAACCGCAUGGUUCGAAAUUGAAAGGCGGCUUCGGCUGUCACUUAUGGAUGGACCCGCGUCGCAUUAGCUAGUUGGUGAGGUAACGGCUCACCAAGGCAACGAUGCGUAGCCGACCUGAGAGGGUGAUCGGCCACACGGGGAAUGAGACACGGCCCAGACUCCUACGGGAGGCAGCAGUAGGGAAUCUUCCGCAAUGGACGAAAGUCUGACGGAGCAACGCCGCGUGAGUGAUGAAGGCUUUCGGGUCGUAAAACUCUGUUGUUAGGGAAGAACAAGUGCUAGUUGAAUAAGCUGGCACCUUGACGGUACCUAACCAGAAAGCCACGGCUAACUACGUGCCAGCAGCCGCCGUAA